rnacentral:rRNA from 1 species
CAAGUCGAACGAGAUCUUCGGAUCUAGUGGCGAACGGCGGAGUAAUACAUGAGCAACGUGCCCUUAUGCCUGGGAUAUACAGAGGAAACUCUGGGCAAUACCGGAUGUGGCUAUCUUUCGGCAUCGAGAGAUAACUAAACGGAUUUAUUCGCAUAGGGAGCGGCUCAUGACCCAUCAGGUAGUUGGUAGGGUAAUGGCCUACCAAGCCGACGACGGGUAGCGGGUCUGAGAGGAUGAUCCGCCCGAGUGGGACUGAGACACGGCCCACACACCUACGGGUGGCAGCAGUUGGGAAUCUUGCACAAUGAGGGAAACCUUGAUGCAGCGACGCCGCGUGGACGAUGAAGGGUUUAGGCCUGUAAAGUCCUUUUACCAGGAAAGACUUAGGACGGUACCUGGUGAAUAAGCUCCGGCUAACUACGUGCCAGCAGCCGCGGUAAUACGUAGGGAGCAAGCGUUGUCCGGAUUUACUGGGCGUAAAGGGCGCGUAGGCGGUCUGUUAAGUGUGGUGUGAAAUCUCCAGGGCUCAACCCGGAAACUGCACCGCAUACUGGCAGACUGGAGGAAGGUAGAGGUAAGUAGAAUUCCCGGUGUAACGGUGACAUGUGUAGAUAUCGGGAGGAAUACCAAUAGCGAAGGCAGCUUACUGGGCCUUUCCUGACGCUGAGGCGCGAAAGCGUGGGUAGCAAACAGAAUUAGAUACUCUGGUAGUCCACGCCCUAAACGAUGGAUACUAGGCGUCAAGGGUAUCGACCCCCUUGGUGCCGCAGCUAACGCAUUAAGUAUCCCGCCUGGGGAGUACGACCGCAAGGUUGAAACUCAAAUGAAUUGACGG